rnacentral:lncRNA from 1 species
AACUUUCUGAGGAAUCGGCUUCACCCGGAAAAGGUGAUGAACAAGCUUCAUUUCCACCACCGCCAACACAACCUCCUCCCAACCUUGACAGAUUUNNNNNNNNNNNNNNNNNNNNNNNNNNNNNNNNNNNNNNNNNNNNNNNNNNNNNNNNNNNNNNNNNNNNNNNNNNNNNNNNNNNNNNNNNNNNNNNNNNNNNNAUACAACGUAAAUUAUGAUGUAACUUGUACAUUGACAUGUCUUCUUUUAGUUUUUUUUUCCUUUUAAUGGUGGUAUUAGUACCUUGUUGAGCUCAUUCCGUUGGGAGAAGGAAGACUAAGAAAAAUAUGCCAUUUUGGUCAAUAAAAAUGCUCUUUAUCAUAUCCUUGAAUAUCCGAGGUAGUAAUAAUAUUUCAGUUAACUAGGUGAAGUUUGACUUAGUUGUCAGCCUGUCAGGAGUAUCCCAAAAAAAAUUGUGCUGUGUCGAAGUGACUAGGGUAACCCUACUAGGCAUACUGAGGAAUUUUCAUUUCCAGCCUAUCAAACUCUUCUUCAUAUUAUAAAUCAUCAAUAAUUUACCGAGAAUUCUAAGGUCUUGGUGAAACUUUGGAAAAUCAAGGUAAUUAUCAAAGGAGGAUCCUGUAGAUAUUAAUUGUCUAGUGGUCCUAUGACUGUUGUUGGAAAAGAAUAUAUUUUACUUAGAGAUGCUUAUGCUUUGCCCUGAAAUAGUACAAAACUCAAAAAUUCUAAUGGUAUUACUAGAUUUGGAAGUUGCUCUAGCCAUAAGAGCCAGAUCAUCCGAAAAAAACAAUUGGGAAAGCUUAGGGCCCUUGUGACUGAUUUUAAUAAGUUCCAGUUAUUAAUACUAACUUCAUUACUUAUGCCUCUAGAAAGCAUAUCUAAACAUAGAAUGGAUGCGUAAGGGACACUGGGUCACCUUGUCGUAUGCCCUUUAAAGGAUAGAAAUGAUUUGUUCUGCCAUCAUUAAUAAUUAAGUGAUAUUUUAAAAAAAUAUAAAUAUUUAAUAUUUUAAAAAGUAAAAACUAAAAAAAGUAUUAAUUAUAGUCCCCAUUCGUCAAUCCUAAAUUGUUCCUUUACCUUUUCAUAUCAACUAAAAUUUAGAUUUUUUUGACAUGCAUGUAAUAUAAUAAAAUUAGUUUUUCUUUUGCUUAAUUAAUAACGAAUUCGAAAAGUUUUAGUUGGCCAAUAAUAAUUAAUUUUUCAAAAAGAAUAUUACUUUAAGUGACCAACGAUCAGUUUGGAUUACUUUAAUAUACUAUUAAUAUUCAAACUGCUCUUUAUUAUAGAAAAAGAUCAAAUUCAAAUACAAAAAAAUUGACCAUUCGCAAAUUUCAGGCAUUUUAAAAAGUUUAUGGACUAUAACGAUGAAAUUAGCAAAUGAUAUUAAUCCUAAAUUAAAAACCUCAGCAUUUAGAUUUGUUGAAGCAAUCUCUGAAUAUGAGGAAAAUGAAAUAAAAGCAUUAAGAAAAUAUUCAUGUAACUAUAAAAAAGGAGAGUUAAAAAUAUAUAUAAUUUGCAUUUCAAUUGCGAGAUUCAUCGUCAAAUAUCAAGCUUUUGUUACGCACUAAGCAAAUAGAAGUUAUUUACACGGUUAAUUUACUAUGUCAAGAAAAAAUAUUUAAGGAUUUAAAAAAUUCGUAAAAAAUUAACGGGUAGGCUCGCCCUAGCCCGCGACCCUCUUAGGGUUGGGUUUGGCUGGAUAUUUUAAGGCCCGUUCAUGUGGCGAACCGGUUCGUCUUAGCCCAUAAAUUUAAAAGCCCACGAGGUUUGGGUUGAGCUAGGCUGGACUGCCCGUUUUGAAAACUCUAAUUAUAAACUUAAUGAUGUUGGUAUGGAAGUUAAAAUAAUAAAGGGUUUUAUGAAUAAAAGACCAUUUGAUUUCAACAAAAGCUUUUUCUAAAUCAAUUUUCAGGAGCAUAUGGGCCAUCUUACCUUUAAUGUUGUUAAAAUGAACUAUAGCUUCUGGUGUCACACCUUCUUUUUUACACUACACUCCGCGAAAGGCAUAAAUAAGAGAGUUUUUCCAAUUAAAUGACAAUUGAAACGGGAUUUAUUUAUUUAAUGAUUUCAGAGUCGCCACUUGGGAUAAUUAAUAGUGUGCCAAGUCACCGGUUUAAAUCCGGAGUCGAGGAAAAGAUUGACUCUAUUUUACAGUCUGCGAACCAGAAAUUCGGGUAAGGAAUUCUGUUAACCUGGGAAAAAGUGUUAGGCAUUCCCGAGUUCCGUGGUUUUAGCACAGUCGCUCAACUGCUAUAAUUGGCCUAUUAUAUGAUUUUAAUACAUGUUUUGAGCCUAUGUGCCUUUUUAACUUAUUAACCGCUUUUAACCAUUUUUAGGAAAGAUUCAACGUCGUAUAAAACAUGUCUUGAACCACGUCACAUAAAUGCACCCACGGUCUACGACACAUUUCAUCUAACAUUAUUGAGAUUUAGAUUUGUGUCAUAUAAAUACACACCCGAAUUUUUAAUAGUAGUCAUAGUAAUUAUAUAUAAUUAAUGCACUUGAAGCAAACUACAAAGUUUAUUUUCUCACUAAUAGUUGAAUUAGUCAAAAAUUAAAAGUCUAUUAAUAAUGCAAGAAAAUUAAAAUUCUGAAAAGAUAUAAUACUACAAUACAAAAGAAUGAAUGGGGCGCACAAAAGAGUAUGGUCAUGUUACUAAUUUUGAUGACAUUUCUCAAAGUCUUUUUAAUUCAAUAUUGCCAGAAUGCCAUAGUAAACCACUCAUUUUUAUUGUAUAGAGGUCAAACAUACAGUAAUAGUUUCUGCUCGUUUUUACGCCUCACCAUGUAUCUCGUGAAUCAAGUUAGAAGUGAGAAACAUACUAAACAUACAACAAGGCAACAAAUCACUAUCGGGAUGCAGUCCAGCCUCUUUCAUAUUAUUCAGCCAUCAAUUCCAACAUAAUUCAGCAAAUUUUACCCCCAAAAAGGAUAAUGGAAAACAGAGAAGACAAAAGAAACUGUAAUGGAAAAUCGAUUGCAGAGACAAAAUCUAGCAAUAAAUACCAAAAAAUGAGUUUGUUUAAGCAAGGCAGCAAGCCACUAUCGCCAUUUCAUGGAAACAAUUUGAAAUAGAAAGGGUCAAGUGCAAACAGAAAUACCAAAUAUUCCAUCUAAUGUAUCGUAUUUAAAACAAAUUAAGAGAAGGUUCUAAACAAAAUACAAAAACAACUAAAUAGUCGUGCAACAGUCAUAUUCAUCAAAAAAACAAGAACAUGGAGAAAAUAUUAGACUCAAAGUGGAAACGGACCUCAAUCGAAAACCGACAACAACUUCGAACGGAAAACAACCCCAAAUUUGAACCUCUUAAGAGCAAAUAACACUUGAAUCUCAAGAGCUUAGGAAUGGAAAACUUCAGACGAAAAUAAGAACUCCAACCGGAAAAUCAACGGACAGAACCUUGGCACCUCCGGCGACCUCGAAUCGGCCCAGAGAUCAAAAUUGAACCUUAAAUAACUCGAACACUGACUUCAAACGAGACAGAAACUGAAAGCAAAGAGAAAACCAUCGAGACCCAUUUUAUUGAUUUCUGGUAUCUUAAAGAACAAAGCAACCAAUCAGUAAAGACCAUUGAGACCUAUUUUUGAUUUUUUUUUGUUCACUGAUUUCUGUCCGAGCCUUGCUUUUUCGUUUCCAGCCUUUGUUUCGUGUGUGUGCGCGUGUGUAUUAGGCAUCUGGUGGUCGAGGUCAAGGGUGGUCGGUGAGUUUGAGUGUAGAGGGAGCGGCCGGUGACGAGGUCUGGGCUCAUUUGGUCGCCGGUCUGAUGAGAGGUGGAAUCGAAGGAUGGUCUGGCUCGUCAGUUGUUGAAGAGAGCAGGCGUCGAUGGAGGGACAGUCGUUUGGGGGUGGAAUGGUUAGAAGAAGAUGAUCUUUAGGGGUGGGGGUCCUCUUUCUUUUUGUCUUCUCCGGCGCAGCUCUUUUUGUGCAUAUAUGUAUUGUAGAGUCUAGGUUUAGGUUUAU